rnacentral:rRNA from 1 species
AUUGAACGCUGGCGGCAUGGCUAAAACAUGCAAGUCGAACGCUUGUAGCAAUACAAGAGUGGCGAAAGGGCGAGGAAUAGAUUCCUAUGUACCUCAAGGUCGGGGAUACCCCGGAGAAAUCCGGAUCAAUACCCGAUGUGGUCGAGAGAUCAAAGGUUUACCGCCUUGAGAGCAGGGAAUCUCCUAUCAGGUAGUUGGUGAGGUAAUGGCUCACCAAGCCGAAGACGGGUAGCGGGUGUGAGAGCACGGCCCGCCGCAUCGAGACUGAGACACUGCUCGGACUCCUACGGGAGGCUGCAGUAACGAAUCUUCCGCAAUGCGCGAAAGCGUGACGGGGCAAUGCCGCGUGCAGGAUGAAGCCCUUCGGGGUGUAAACUGCUGUCAGGGUGCAGGAAAGAAAUGACCAUACCCAAAGGAAGCACCGGCUAACUCUGUGCCAGCAGCCGCGGUAAUACAGAGGGUGCGAGCGUUAAUCGGAAUCACUGGGCUUAAAGGGUGCGUAGGCGGAUGCAUAGGCGCUUUGUGAAAUCCCACGGCUCAACCGUGGAAUUGCUUGGCGAACCAUGCGUCUUGAGGUUGGUAGAGGUCACUGGAACGAUAGGUGGAGCGGUGAAAUGCGUAGAUAUCUAUCGGAA